rnacentral:rRNA from 1 species
AGCGUAGGCGGACUUUUAAGUGGGAUGUGAAAUACUCGGGCUCAACCUGAGUGCUGCAUUCCAAACUGGAAGUCUAGAGUGCAGGAGGGGAAAGUGGAAUUCCUAGUGUAGCGGUGAAAUGCGUAGAUAUUAGGAAGAACACCGGUGGCGAAGGCGACUUUCUGGACUGUAACUGACGCUGAGGCUCGAAAGCGUGGGGAGCGAACA